rnacentral:rRNA from 1 species
CAGUCGCCGCGGGAAUACGUAGGGUGCAAGCGUUGUCCGGAAUUAUUGGGCGUAAAGAGCUCGUAGGCGGUUUGUCGCGUCUGCUGUGAAAUCCCGAGGCUCAACCUCGGGCUUGCAGUGGGUACGGGCAGACUAGAGUGCGGUAGGGGAGAUUGGAAUUCCUGGUGUAGCGGUGGAAUGCGCAGAUAUCAGGAGGAACACCGAUGGCGAAGGCAGAUCUCUGGGCCGUAACUGACGCUGAGGAGCGAAAGCGUGGGGAGCGAACAGGAUUAGAUACCCCUGUAGUCCCUGUCUCUUAUAC